GAACAUGAGAACACGUGUAGGAUCAUGGUUGGAGUCAUGAGGGACACUUGUGGGAUCAUGGCUAUGGUCCUGAGGGACAUGGGGACACUUGUAGGAUCAUCGUUGGGGUCAUGAGGGACAUGGGGACGCUUGUAGGGUCAUGGUUAUGGUCAUGAGGGGACACUGCUACUUGUAGGAUCAUGGUUGGGGUCACGAGGGACACUUGUAGGAUCGUGGUUAUGGUCAUGAGGGACACGGGGACACUUGUAGGGUCGUGGUUGGGGUCAUGAAGGGAUAUGGGGACACUUUUAGGAUCACGGUUAUGGUCAUGAGGAACAUGAGGACACGUGUAGGAUCAUGGUUGGGGUCAUGAGGAACACUUGUAGGAUCAUCGUUGGGGUCGUGAGGGACAUGGGGACACUUUUGUAGGGUCGUGGUUGGGGUCAUGAGGAACAUGGGGACAGUUGUAGGGUCAUGGCUGGGGUCAUGAGGAACAUGGGGACAGCUGUAGGAUCAUGGAUGGGGUCAUGAGGGGAUAUGGGAACACUUGUAGGGUCAUGGUUAUGGCCAUGAGGGACAUGGGGACGCUUGUAGGGUCAUGGUUAUGGUCAUGAGGGGACACUGCUACUUGUAGGAUCAUGGUUGGGGUCACGAGGGACACUUGUAGGAUUGUGGUUAUGGUCAUGAGGGACACGGGGACACUUGUAGGAUCAUCGUUGGGGUCAUGAGGGACAUGGGGACGCUUGUAGGGUCAUGGUUGGGGUCACGAGGGACACUUGUAGGAUCGUGGUUAUGGCCAUGAGGGACAUGAGGACACGUGUAGGAUCAUGGUUGGAGUCAUGAGGGACACUUGUGGGAUCAUGGCUAUGGUCCUGAGGGACAUGGGGACACUUGUAGGAUCAUCGUUGGGGUCAUGAGGGACAUGGGGACGCUUGUAGGGUCAUGGUUAUGGUCAUGAGGGGACACUGCUACUUGUAGGAUCAUGGUUGGGGUCACGAGGGACACUUGUAGGAUCGUGGUUAUGGCCAUGAGGGACACGGGGACACUUGUAGGGUCGUGGUUGGGGUCAUGAAGGGAUAUGGGGACACUUUUAGGAUCACGGUUAUGGUCAUGAGGAACAUGAGGACACGUGUAGGAUCAUGGUUGGGGUCAUGAGGAACACUUGUAGGAUCAUCGUUGGGGUCGUGAGGGACAUGGGGACACUUUUGUAGGGUCGUGGUUGGGGUCAUGAGGAACAUGGGGACAGUUGUAGGGUCAUGGCUGGGGUCAUGAGGAACAUGGGGACAGUUGUAGGAUCAUGGAUGGGGUCAUGAGGGGAUAUGGGAACACUUGUAGGGUCAUGGUUAUGGCCAUGAGGGACAUGGGGACGCUUGUAGGGUCAUGGUUAUGGUCAUGAGGGGACACUGCUACUUGUAGGGUCAUGGUUGGGGUCACGAGGGACACUUGUAGGAUCGUGGUUAUGGCCAUGAGGGACAUGAGGACACGUGUAGGAUCAUGGUUGGAGUCAUGAGGGACACUUGUGGGAUCAUGGCUAUGGUCCUGAGGGACAUGGGGACACUUGUAGGAUCAUCGUUGGGGUCAUGAGGGACAUGGGGACGCUUGUAGGGUCGUGGUUAUGGCCAUGAGGGACAUGGGGACGCUUGUAGGGUCAUGGUUAUGGUCAUGAGGGGACACUGCUACUUGUAGGAUCAUGGUUGGGGUCACGAGGGACACUUGUAGGAUCGUGGUUACGGCCAUGAGGGACACGGGGACACUUGUAGGGUCGUGGUUGGGGUCAUGAAGGGAUAUGGGGACACUUUUAGGAUCACGGUUAUGGUCAUGAGGAACAUGAGGACACGUGUAGGAUCAUGGUUGGGGUCACGAGGGACACUUGUAGGAUCAGGGCUAUGGUCCUGAGGGACACGGGGACG